AACGAGCGCUGGCGGCAUGCCUAACACAUGCAAGUCGAACGAGACCUUCGGGUCUAGUGGCGCACGGGUGCGUAACGCGUGGGAACCUGCCCUUAGGUUCGGAAUAACUCCCCGAAAGGGGUGCUAAUACCGGAUAAUGUCUUCGGACCAAAGAUUUAUCGCCUUUGGAUGGGCCCGCGUUGGAUUAGCUAGUUGGUAGGGUAAAAGCCUACCAAGGCGUCGAUCCAUAGCUGGUCUGAGAGGAUGAUCAGCCACACUGGGAGUGAGACACGGCCCAGAAUCCUACGGGAGGGGGGAAUGGGGGAUAUUGGACAGUGGGGGAAAGGCUGAUCCAGCAAGGCCGCGUGAGUGAUGAAGGCCUUAGGGUUGUAAAGCUCUUUUACCCGGGAUGAUAAUGACAGUACCGGGAGAAUAAGCUCCGGCUAACUCCGUG
rnacentral:rRNA from 1 species